rnacentral:lncRNA from 1 species
CAUUCAGAGAUGCUUGACAUCCAAGUGUCAGUAAAUUAAUACAUUUAUGUUAACAUGGAAGGAAUUGACAAAUGAAUGUUAAAUUGAUACAUAAAACAAUGAGUAGGGGGUUGGGGAUUUAGCUCAGUGGUAGAGCGCUUGCCUAGCAAGCACAAGGCCCUGGGUUCGGUCCCCAGCUCCGAAAAAAAAAAAAAAAAAAAACAAUGAGUAGGCUUGCCCUAUUAAAUUUUCUUAAAUUUGUGAAUUGUUGUGAAUAAUUAUUUCAUUAAAAACAAUGAUGGACAAGCAGGCAAGUUAAGCUUUUCCAUUCCUGGGUCUUAAGUCAUAAUGCUUCUAAUGGGCAUCCAUUAUUAGAAUCACAGAAUUUGUUCUACAAGCCAAAGGUGCCUUUCAUAGUAUUGAAAUUGUGAGAAGCAGUCGGACAGAGAUUUGUACAGGUGAAGAACCUACCUUUAUCUAGUUGUCAAGUAUCCUCUGGAGCAAUAGAAUUUGGAGGCUCUGCAACAGUGAAGGCCAGCCACAAUAAAAAUCACAUACUUACCAAUAAAUAUGAAUACAUUUCUUAAUGUGGG